UGGUGACAAUGGUCCGAUUCAGCUGCAGAGAUCUCUCCUUAACAUGUCUCCUACUCUAGUAGUUAUACUCACCAAGCAGUCAUGAUGUUUACAUCUUUAUCACACGUGACCUUGCUAUGCCUGUGUUUACCAGUAACGCAUGAUACCUGGUGACGAUCAACGAGGAUGAAGAAAUCAAUAACAGUAUCAUCAAGGUUACUGCUACACGACAUGGACUUAUUGAUUACAUUUCUGUGCGGAAGGAUAAAAAAACUACACCAGACUGGUGGCCAUGACAGAUGUCAGUGGGAAAUUUAAACAUGGACUAGAUACUUGAUGUGUAGCAAAACAGUUCAUCGUUGAUGGUGGUGUUU